AGAAGAAGAGCAACUCGCUGUUCAUUUGCUGGGCGGUGUUUGAGUGUGAGAGAGGAGCAGGACGAAGACGGACAGAUAACAAUACCGAAUACUUGUUCAUAUCUAUUUCCUCUCUGCUUUUGAGUUGCGCCUGGUCGCUAUAAAAGUUCCCUUUUUGGAAUCCGUCCAAAAUGGGGAUCCGCAAAAAGACCAACAAAAACCCGCCGGUGUUGAGCCACGAGUUUAUCAUCCAGAACCAUGCAGAUAUUGUUUCCUGUGUUGCUAUGGUGUUCCUCCUCGGGUUGAUGUUUGAGAUCACCUCGCAGGUUGCUGUGCUGUUCAUCACUGUCCAAUACAACGUUACAAUCUCUGCAAACGAGGAGAGCGUGGUGAACCACUUCCACUACGGCCUGAAGGAUGUGGCUACAGUCUUCUUCUACAUGCUGGUGGCCAUCAUCAUCCACGCCAUUAUCCAGGAGUAUGUACUGGACAAGAUCAACAGGAAGAUGCACUUCUCUAAGACCAAGCACAGCAAGUUCAACGAGUCGGGCCAGCUCUCUGCCUUCUACCUGUUCUCCUUCGGCUGGGGAACCAGCAUCCUCAUGUCGGAGAACUUCCUGUCUAACCCAGUGAGCCUGUGGGAUGGAUACCCUCAUACCCUGAUGCCAUUCCAGAUGAAGUUGUAUUUUAUCAGCCAGAUGGGCUACUGGCUUCACACCCUGCCUGAGAUCUACUUCCAGAAGACCAAGAAAGAGGAUAUUCCUCGUCAGUUGGUGUAUAUCGCUCUGUAUUUAGUCCACAUCGCAGGAGCCUACAUCCUCAAUCUGAAUCGUCUGGCUCUGGUCCUGCUGGUGUUGCACUACUUCACAGAGCUUCUCUUCCACGUGUCCCGCCUGGUCUACUUCAGCAACGACAAGAGACAGACUGGGUUCACCGUCUGGGCGGUGCUGUUUGUCCUUGGACGGCUGCUCACCCUGUCCCUGUCUGUCCUGACUGUGGGCUUCGGCCUGUCCAACGCUGAUCAACAGGGACUGGACCUGGCUAACGGAAACUUCAACGUGCUCAUAGUUCGGAUCGCUGUGCUAGCUACCAUCUGUGUGACUCAAGCCUUCAUGAUGUGGAAAUUCAUCAACUUCCAGCUGAGGAGGUGGAGAGAGCUGGCCCAGCCCCUGAAACCCAAGAAGCCCCAAGCUCCCAAGACCAAGUCCAAGAAAGACAAAGCCAAUGGAGUGAACGGAGUGAGUUCCAACGGAGCCGAUUCGCCGAGAGCAAAGAAAGAGAAGUCUUCGUAAACCCCCCCCCCCUCUCUCUGUUCCUCCAACCGAAUCCCGUUUUUCUCCUAUCCCCUUCAGGCAGCAUCCAGCCUUCUCAUUCCACUGCUCUAUAUGCUGUCUAUGGCUCAAUCCCAAAUCCACCCCUAGACCCUUGUGGAGAUCUAAGAGGAUAUGAUUGAUUCAAGCAUUAUGGUGAGACUUCCACCUAGCAUAUCAGAGAGCCGGUUGGAACUAAGCCCAUAUUGAUUACACCUGUCAUAUCAUCUCAGAUCCCCUGAAGGGUCUAGGGGUUCAUUUGGGACUGUUCAUCUACUACAGCUACUAAAGGAGGACAACUCCUUCCAACGGGACUACAAGAUCCAGAAUGCAUCUUGGCAUCAUCUGCUUGUUGCCAAUCUCCAGUGCUGACCAUUCCCAGAAUCAUUGUGACACUGCUGUGUCAUUAUUACAGCAAAAGAAAAACCAUGAAAGAACAACUCUAACAAAGAACGUAUUUAAAAGUGCCUAUUCAUAGACUGUACAGGAUGUGCAGAUUUAAAAUGUCAGGAAUGAUAUAAACUCAGUGUUUCAGUAAACACCCCCCCAAGCCAGAGAUGUUAUUUAUCAGACUGUAUCCUGUGACAUGUUAUGUUUCUUUAACAAAAGAUCUUCUUGAUUCAGUCACAUUUAUUUGGAUCCGCUAGAGGACAAAUGCACCUGCUGACCACCUAUUUUAAAUGACCUCAUUUCCUGUUUUAUUUUUUUAUUUUUUAUUUUUUUUCCUUCAUCAACGCAGAAGGUUUCUGGAAGGGAUAGGUUUGAUUGGUUCAUGGGAAGGGAUAGGUUUGAUUGGUUCAUGGGAAAGGAUAGGUUUGAUUGGUUCAUUGGAAGGGAUAGGUUUGAUUGGUUCAUGGGAAGGGAUAGGUUUGAUUGGUUCAUUGGAAGGGAUAGGUUUGAUUGGUUCAUUGGAAGGGAUAGGUUUGAUUGGUUCAUUGGAAGGGAUAGGUUUGAUUGGUUCAUUGGAAGGGAUAGGUUUGAUUGGUUCAUUGGAAGGGAUAGGUUUGAUUGGAAGGGAUAGGUUUGAUUGGAAGGGAUAGGUUUGAUUGGAAGGGAUAGGUUUGAUUGGUUCAUUGGAAGGGAUAGGUUUGAUUGGUUCAUUGGAAGGGAUAGGUUUGAUUGGUUCAUUGGAAGGGAUAGGUUUGAUUGGUUCAUUGGAAGGGAUAGGUUUGAUUGGUUCAUUGGAAGGGAUAGGUUUGAUUGGAAGGGAUAGGUUUGAUUGGUUCAUUGGAAGGGAUAGGUUUGAUUGGUUCAUUGGAAGGGAUAGGUUUAAUUGGUUCAUUGGAAGGGAUAGGUUUAAUUGGUUCUGCCGUAUUGCUUUAACCUACCAGUUUGUGUGCUUCUCAAAUGGCACCCUAUUCCCUACAUAGUGCUCCAAUAUUGACCAGAGAAGUAUGGCCUUGGUCAAAAGUAGGGUACUACAUGGGGAAUAGGGUCCCAUUUGAGUCGUAGACAUUCUCUCAGGACGCUGGCAGUGAGAAUUAAGGAACGGGAAUGAGGAUAGGAAGUCGUUCUACAGUAUUUUGACUUUUUGUUGUUGUUGUUGCUUUUCAAGCCUUUUGCUUUGGUGCUGUAAAAAAAAAAGGCCUGAACCCUGUGACCUUUCCUUUUGCUGAAGUAAUCACUGAUCUAACAAGGUUGGAUAGAGUCGUUUACCCCCCCCCCAAAAAAAAAAACCCUGUCAAUGGCAGGAUCAGUGGUCACUGUGAAGGGAGAAAUUAAUUUUUGGUGUUGCAUCCCAAUCGGCACCCUAUUCCCUAUAUAGUGCACAAGAGCCACUAUGGGAUCAGGUGAAAAGUAGCACACUACAUAGCGUUUAGGAUGCACACCCUAGUGAAAAAUGGUUGCCGUUGGCGAUUGGCUGCCUUCAUUCGAGAGCCUGCAAAGCCAAAAAUCUGUAGUUUUAAUAUAAGUGAUGAGGAUCCUAUCAAAGAGGUUAGUAGAUGACAUAUUUACUGUUAUUAAUAUUAGUGUUCUUUUCUUUGUUGGAGAAUAUGGCAUUGAGGCCUACUUUUUUGGUCAACAACUCGAGUGGUUUGUGUUUGUCACUGUCUGUUUCAAAUGGCAACCUAUUCUCUUUAUAGGGCCCUGGUCAAAAGUAGUGCUCUAAUAAAGGGAAUAGGGUGCCAUUUGGGAUUGAACCGCUGUAUUUUUGUCUCCUUUGAACAUGUCCAUGGGAAUAUAAUUUGACGUUAUGAAUAAGGAAAUGUUGUGUUCCGUUUUAUCCCCUUUACUUUAACUGAACGUGCCAAAUCAGUGCUCUCAGCAUGACAGGAUCUUUCUUUCCUUUAACAUGCUCACUUGUUGCCAUUAAAUAAUUUACACGGAAA